GUUUAAAACCGCUUGAUCAUUGGCCAAUCACUUGACUUGAUCUUUGUAACCAAGAUGGUGAGAGUGGAAGUGCUUCACUUUUGGCUUCAAAACAGGACAUCAGAGACUAAUGGAUGAGAUGCCCAUGCCUACGGGUGUGGCUGUCAUCUCCACACCUGCAUCCCAUUCCAGGCGAUCAUCAGGAGGACUAUUUAACCCCGCACGGCCAGCUGCUCCACGGUAGUCCGUUAGUCACCACUCAGCGGUUAUUAUUCAGCAUGUUUGAGCCUACACCUGCCCGUCCUCCUGCCCGCCUGGAGUUCAGAUUAGCCACCGGUCAUCAUCUCCUCCACCUUCCUGUAGCCCUCUCCCGCGGACCCUCACCCCUCCCUCCGGUUCCCACGGCCAAGCCCUGAUUCCUCCCACGGUCCCGAUCACGGCGUUCCCGAGUUGUUAUCUCCCGGUCCCUUGGCUCUAAUAUUACACUGCGUGUUUUCCUUUGAUCAUUCCGGGACACCCUUAGUUUGAGAAAUAAAGUUGUUCUGCGUGCA